GACAGAGGGUGCUAGCGUUGUUCGGAAUGACUGGGCGUAAAGGGCGCGUAGGUGGCCCGGUCAGUUCGUGGUGAAAGCGCGGGGCUCAACCCUGCGUCGGCCAUGAAUACUGCCGCGGCUGGAGCACUGUAGAGGCAGGCGGAAUUCCGGGUGUAGCGGUGGAAUGCGUAGAGAGUCCGGAAGAACACCGGUGGCGAAGGCGGCCUGCUGGGCAGUUGCUGACACUGGAGGC
rnacentral:rRNA from 1 species